rnacentral:misc_RNA from 1 species
UGUGGGAGCGGGCUUGCUCGCGAUGCAAGCACUGCGGCCUGUCUGGAACACCGCAUUGAUGCAAUCGCGAGCAAGCCCGCUCCCACG